rnacentral:ribozyme from 1 species
AAAGAUAGACCGAAAGAAGAAGAAAAAGUGCCAAGGAAAGAUAGGACAGUAAACAGGGUGUGUACCCAAGGUAAUAUGUCUCAACGCAAAAACGGCUUACUUUUGUCGCUUUUUUUCUUAUUUUUUUAUUUUUUUAUUUUCUUUUACCACAUGUGUGUUUUUCUC